rnacentral:rRNA from 1 species
GAUGAACGCUAGCGACAGGCUUAACACAUGCAAGUCGAGGGGCAGCAUGGACAUAGCUUGCUAUGUUUGAUGGCGACCGGCGCACGGGUGCGUAACACGUAUCCAAUCUGCCCGUUACUCGGGGAUAGCCUUCUGAAAGGAAGAUUAAUACCCGAUGGCAUGUAUUUCCGGCAUCGGAGAUACAUUAAAGAUUUAUCGGUAACGGAUGAGGAUGCGUACGAUUAGCUAGUUGGCGGGGUAACGGCCCACCAAGGCGACGAUCGUUAGGGGUUCUGAGAGGAAGGUCCCCCACACUGGAACUGAGACACGGUCCAGACUCCUACGGGAGGCAGCAGUGAGGAAUAUUGGUCAAUGGUCGGAAGACUGAACCAGCCAAGUAGCGUGAAGGAUGACUGCCCUACGGGUUGUAAACUUCUUUUGUUGGGAAUAAAAGACGCUACGUGUAGCGUUCUGCAUGUACCUUACGAAUAAGCAUCGGCUAA